rnacentral:tRNA from 1 species
GUAUUUAUAGUUUAAUCAAAACAUUAGAUUGUGGUUCUAGAAAUAAAAGUUAAAAUCUUUUUAUUUACC